AUCGGGGUGGGGGGAGUGGGGGCGGCUCUCCGCUGCAGCUGGUUAGCCUGCAAAACACAAGCGCACAGCUGCUGUCAGAGCGAGCCCCACUGGGGCUCCUCGGGGUGUUUCCCCCUGCCUCCCUUCUCACUUCUGUGGCAAACUGCACCUCACUUCUCUAGUUUUUCGGUGAUUAAAAACCAACCGUCUUUCCCCCCAUGCAGUCUCGGCUGCAUGUGCACUUUGGGGCUGCUUAUUUUAAAUGUUCAUUCGCCCCGCUGGCCCCGAAGUGCUGGCUUCUUUGAUCACUGUGUCCUCGGUGCGGAGAGGCGCUUUGCUUUGUGCGGCCGUUUUCUGAGUUCUUAAGGGAGUUUUGUACUCGAGUCCACAGCGAAAAUUAAAAUAAUGAUCAUCCCUUGCAGGAAAUAAGGAUCAUCCCUUGAGGCUUAUUCUCUCCUUUAAGACGUAAAGAGCCCCUUCCUCCCAGCCCCCACCCCUGGAAGGAUUAAGCAAGCGGAUGGGUCCCUGGUAAGGUACCUGGGGUUUGGAGCCAGGCGGGUGUCCACAGCGUUCUGCCCGGGGCACCGAGUGGGCGAGACGUGCAGUCUCUGAAAUUCAAAGCGCGCGCGGCGGGGUUCAGCACCCGGACCCAAGGACAGCGGGUCCGAGUUUUUAUACCCGCUGUGGGCAGCGCGGGCCAAUGGGCCAGCCACGGAGCGCUGCCGCCUGGUAACCUGAUUCCAGGCCCGCCUCUUUCCCGCUGCCACGUGGCUGGAUCAGCGGCAAGGGUCUGGAGCCCUGGUUCUUUAUCUUGCAACAGGUGGAGGUGUGGGAAGCUCCGAUCAGGUUUCUCUUUCCUUACGGGCAAAAGCGGGUUAAGUUUCGAUGGUAUCGCGGCAUCACUGUGAAGACCACCGCACACAGUGAUCGUGAAUGCGUGGAAGCACUCUACUCCCUCCAAGAAAAAUGAAGACGGAAGUUGGUUUUUCUCAGGAGACAAGCUGCUGUUGGCUCUACAAGUGACAUCUCAGAGAGCCUGCAGUUCCAAAGAGGACAGAUCAGAGCUCACGAUCAGAGAAUUUGGUUCAUCUUCAGUAACACCUUAGAAGCAUUUCCUGUGGAAGACUUCUUGCAAACAGGAGAGAUGUGUCCUUACGUGACUGGUUCCCUGUGACCACGUUAAGCCUUAUGUUUUACUUAACACGGAAGUGUGAGCCGUCCAGUACUUGGGAGGAUAGUUCAACAGGGUCAGGCCAAGUACCUGGACACGGAAAUAUCCGCAGAGGAAGACUGUGGCCAUUCGAGCUCACAGCGUGAGCCACAGAACAUCCAGUCAUGGAGCUGGAAAACAAUUCAGUGAAGCAGACAUAAACAGGGCCCAUAUGGGAGAGACCAGAGAUUUCUAUAUUUAUUUGAAAGGCAGAGUGACAGAAGGAGAAGCAGACAUCUGCCAUCUGCUGGUUCACUCCCCAAAUGGCUGCAAACAGACAAGUCUGGACCAGGCGGAAGCCAAGAACUCCAUCCUGGUCUGCUCUGUGGGCGGAAGAGACCCCAGCACUUGGGCCAUCAUCUGCUGCCUUCCUAAACUCAUUAGCAGGGAGCUGGAUUGGAAGUGGGGCAGUCAGGACUGGAAGCAGCACUGAUACAGAUGCCAGCCAGCAUCCUAAGCUUAAUCCACUGUACCACAAUGCUGUCCCCUGUACUAAAAAUUUUUAGCUUACUUUUCUGAGGGAUGUUUUAUUCUGCCAUUAUUCAGAGUGAUAUUUCUGAGAAAUAGUAGCCCAGCUGUGAUUAAAUGUAAUUACUGAAAGAGAAAAUAUGACAGUGCUCGGGGAAGCAAUGAACAGUUGCUGUGUGCUUUAGGGUAAGUCAUUUAACACUCCUGAGCUUAAGUUUUCUAUAGAGUGUGGACAAUACCACCUGCAUUACUUACCUCACAGGUCUUUUUGUGAUCUGUGUAAUAUGCCUGCGUUGGCAUAUUGGUAAGAUUAUUGCUCAUGAGGUGGAACUGAAAGAUAAAAUUCAGGUUAAGUAUUCCUAAUACAAAAUGCUCUGAAAUCUGAAACCUUUUGAGUGCCAACAUGACAGUCAAAAGACCUUUAGAUUAGGUCUUGCAGCAUUUCAGUUUUUUGUUAGAGAACUUUGGUGAAGUCUAUGUAAUUAUUUCACUACCCCCCAAAUGCCAAAAUCUGAAACACUUCUGGUCCCAACCAGUUUUGGAUAAAGGAUACUCAGCCUGUAAAACGAAAUGAGGCAUAUAAAAAGCACAUUUAUAUAUUUAUGCUUUCAAUUAUCACACAGGCAUUAAUAGAGCUUAUGUCUCCCACUAGAUGAUGCCAUCCCACUGCCCAGACCAGGCUAUGAGGCCUGUACCAUCUCCUGCAUGGUUAUGGUAUUGUUACUCACACAUCCUUGCACUGGUUUUCCUUAAGCUUUUUUUUUUUUUUUCCUGAAGCUUUUACACAUGCCUUAUUGCGACCAGAAGAGUUUCUUUACACUUGCCUCUGUGCAGAGAAAGUGUGAAUGUAAAAGGCUGGGAGAUUGCUAGGGAGUAUCAGUAGAAAUAACUUGGGGACACAUUCAAGAGGGAAUUCUGAACACUGGCAAGUUCCAGUAUUUUUUAAAUUUAUUUACUUGAAAGUCAGAGUUACACAGAGAGAAGAAGUAGAGAGAGAGAGAGAGAGAGAGAGAAAGAGAGAGAGAGAGAGAGAAAUCCUCCAUCCACUGGUUCAUUCCCCAGUUUGCUGCAAUGGCCAGAGCUGUGCUGAUUAGAAGUCAGGAGCCAGGAGCUUCUUCAGGGUCUUCCACGCAUGUGUAGGGGCCCAAGGACUUGGACCAUCUUCCACUGCUUUCCCAGGCCACAGCGGAGAGCUGGACUGGAAGAGGAACACCUGGGACCCAGUAUGUUCUUGAGCAGGUGACUAAGUUGAGGUCAGGUGUGCUUUGGGAAACUAAUUCUGAUGUCAGCAUGAACAAGGCAAAUCUGGAGACUGGGAGAACCAUCAGGGUGACUGCAUGGUAUAGGGAAGAUAUGAGAAUUGGAAAAACAGAAUAGAUAGGUAUGGCAGUCAAUGCGUUGUGUGUCAAAGUGUCCCCUAACUGGGCGGUGCUGUGGUGUAGUGGUGGAGCCACUGCCUGCAGUGCUGGCAUCCCAUAUGGGUACCGGUUGCAGACCCAGCUGCUCCACUUACAAUCUGCUGUGGCCUGGGAAAGCAGUAGAAGACGGCCCUAGUGCUUGGGCCCCUGCAUCCAUAUGGGAGACCCAGAAUAAGCUCCUGGAUCCUGAUUGGUGCAGCUCUUGUUGCUGCCAAGUGGGGAGUGAACCAGCAGAUGGAAGAUAUCUCUCUCUCUCUCUCUCCUCUUUCUGUGCAACUCUUUCGGAUAAAUAAAUCUUUAAAAAAAAAAAAAAGUGCCUCCUAGGUAUUUGUGUUAGUGGAAAAACAAAUAGUUAAGGAUUUCCCCCCCACUGUGGCAGGAGUGAAAGAGGAGGUGGAUAUUUAUAAACCUGUUAA